UACGUAGGCGGCCAUAUAAGUCAGAAGUGAAAGGCUACGGCUUAACCGUAGUAAGCUUUUGAAACUGUAUGGCUUGAGUGCAGGAGAGGAAAGCGGAAUUCCUAGUGUAGCGGUGAAAUGCGUAGAUAUUAGGAAGAACACCAGUAGCGAAGGCGGCUUUCUGGACUGAAACUGACGCUGAGGUACGAAAGCGUGGGGAGCGAACAGGGUUAGAUACCCUGGUAGUCC
rnacentral:rRNA from 1 species